rnacentral:sRNA from 1 species
ACCCAGUCCGCGAGGACCGGACGGACCGCU